CAAGGCUCUAGCAACAAGUAUAAUUAAACAAUCAAUCAAUGUGAAUUGCAAUUAUACAAGACUUGCACGAGGGCAAGCAACAAUAUGAAUUAAAGCUCUAAACUACUACAAGCAACCACAUACAUAAUAUUUGAUUAUAUUUUAAUCAAAUACAAGUAAACUAAAACUAUUACAUUCAUUUUACUUUCAUUCAUAAUUUCUUUACAUCAUAAUCAUCCAACCCAAAAUACAUGAUUGUUUACAACUUUUACAUUUUUCUUGAUCAACAAAAUAAA
rnacentral:lncRNA from 1 species